GGGUCAGUAGGUUGGUCGUGCCACCGGUACGUACUGGUCUCACUGAUUCCUCCUUCCUAAAGAACCGUAAUGCCACUAAUUUGGUGUUGCGGGGAAACAGGACUGUUACUUUGAAAAAAUUAGAGUGUUUAAAGCAAGCUAACGCUUGAAUACAUUAGCAUGGAAUAAUGAAAUAGGACGAUCGAUCCUAUUUUGUUGGUUUCUAGGAUUGACGUA
rnacentral:rRNA from 1 species